rnacentral:lncRNA from 1 species
GUUCAGAGAUGGUCACUGUUCUUGUCUGAGCACCUUGCCUUCAGCACCUUUCCCCUCUGCAGGCACCCAUCCAACCCCACUCAGCUACAGCUCUGCCUAGGUGCAUGUCUAAUACCCCUCGGAGUGAGUGUGCCACCGAAUGCUCCAGUUUAAGAAGGACAUCUUUGUACAAAAAAAAGGGGGGGGAGGGAGAAGCAAAGAGAACAGUUAUGAUGAGUUGCAACUUGAAGAUAAAACAAACAAAACUGGAAAAGAAGGAAAUAAGUAGAAUCACCCUGUUUCACAUGACUCAGACCCUUGCACACCAGAUGCUCCACCUGCUGCCACUUCUCCACCAACUUCAGAAGAACCCGGACCUUUCACUGCACCAACAUCACCCUCUUCCUCCUCUGAUCCUGGUACCGCGUCAUUUUCACCACCGCUACCUGCCUGCGUUGCAGCCUUGCAUCCCAAACCGGCUCCUAUUCCACCACCAACGUCAGCUUCUGCAGGCACAGUUCACCCUGGACUCCCUUCUGUUCCUGCACCACCCGCCUCUACUUCAUCCCUGCACCCUGGACUCUAUCUGCCAGUCAUCCCUCCCGGCAGUGCCACCCACCUCAUCAACUGGCUGCCCUUCCUGGCUUCUGCAACACUCGCCACCAUCCGCGGGAAGGAGGAGGAUCAGCCUCCUGUAGGAACAUGCUCCUUGGAAAGCGUGAAGCGAUGCAACAGCACACCCCCAACACCCUCCCAUGACGACAACCACCAUGCUGCAUCCGUGGAAGACAGGGCUCCAGAAGCUGCUUCCCUGCCACCGGCUGCCCAUUCCGUGCCCCCGAGCUCUGAGCAGGCAUCAGCAAACGUGAGUGACAUCCUGGCGGAGCUGAGGACCAUGAACGGCCAUCUGUCUGUCAUUGCCCGAGCGCUGACACAGCUGGCAUCAUCGUUGGCACCGCAGCAAGGCGCACAUGGCACCCCACCUCCUUAGUGCUUGGUGACCCACCCUGCUCACAGGGGUGGCAUUGGCCGGGGACAUCCCGUGGUGGAGAUGUGGAGGAGGGAGACCCUACACGAACCUGCCCAUGUGGUCUGUGCCGUUUUGCUGUGCUCUCUGACACAAGCCAAGACAAACCCCAGUGGGUUUUCAUAUUUGUUUGUUUAUUUCCUCCUUGUAAACGGCUGCAUAUAUUAAAAAAAAAAAAAAAGGUUUUGUGGUAUUGUUAAUAAAACUGUUUACAUUUCUUGCA